GAAGCUCCCAACUCCCUCAAAGGUUUCCAGCAUCACAUAAUUGCUUCAAGUAAUGGGAAUGUUGGAAACCUUUUGUGGGGGUUUGAGAGCUU
rfam:Populus trichocarpa scaffold_15_contig_158, whole genome shotgun sequence.